AUCCUAUCGAGACCCCAGUCAGUCGAUCUC
rnacentral:rRNA from 1 species